rnacentral:misc_RNA from 1 species
AAAAUAAUCCUACCCUUUGUGAAUUUUGUUUGUUUGAAUAAUUUUUUUUUAAAAAAUUAUUGGAGUCUUUCCCUUUAGUUUGCUUUUGAGUUUGUAAAAGAAUUCGAAAACAUCUAAAGGGGAUGGUCAAUAAUUUUUUUGAAAAAAGACAUUUUUUAAAAUUAAACUUUUUGUAUUCAUUUGUCUAAAAAUUAUUUUUAUAAUAUAAAAACAACUUUUGACAAUGGAUCUCUUGGUUCUCGCAACGAUGAAGAACGCAGCAAAAUGCGAUAAGUAGUGUGAAUUGCAGAAUACGUGAAUCAUCGAAUCUUUGAACGCAUAUUGCACUUUUUUAGUUUACUAAAAAAGUAUGUCUGUUUGAGUAUCAGUAAAAUAUUCUCAUAAAAAUCAUUGUGUAUUUUUAUGGUUAUGAGUGUUUUACAACGAUACAAGUUGUUUCACUUUAAAUUUUUUUUUUAAUAUUGAAAUUUUUCUAAUUUUAAUAAUUAAAAUUGGAUAAAAUUUUCCCGUCAAAAGGAAUAACCUAAACAAUUUUAAAUGAUUAAUUUUAGCAAAAUUUUCGAAAAAAGGAAAAUUUUUAUUAAAAUAACUUGAUCUCAAAUCAGAUAAGAGUACCCGCUGAACUUAAGCAUAUCAAUAAGCGGAGGAAAAGAAACUAACAAGGAUUCCCUUAGUAACGGCGAGUGAAGCGGGAAGAGCUCAAAUUUGAAAUCUUCAAGGUUUUACCUUGACGAAUUGUAGUUUAAAGAAGUGUUUUCUGCUGAAGUUUUGGUAAAAGUUCUUUGGAAUAGGACAUCAUAGAGGGUGAGAAUCCCGUAUUUGACCAUUAUUUUCAGCUUUGUGAUACACUUUCAAAGAGUCGGAUUGUUUGGGAAUGCAGUCCAAAAUGGGUGGUAAAUUUCAUCUAAAGCUAAAUAUUGGCGAGAGACCGAUAGCGAACAAGUACCGUGAGGGAAAGAUGAAAAGAACUUUGAAAAGAGAGUUAAACAGUACGUGAAAUUGUCAAAAGGGAAGCGUUUGACACCAGUGUUGUUUUCUCGAAAAUCAAUUAAAAAUGGCUCGAUUUUGUAUUGCUGAGACCUUAAAAGCUCACUGUACAUUUUUCGUGUCUUUUUUAAUGCACUUUUCGUUUAACAAGUCAACAUCAGUUUCUUUUGUUGUAAAAGGGUCAUUGGAAGGUGGCUUUCUUUUCGGAGAAAGUGUUUAUAGCCUUUGGCCUCUGCAAUCGAGAGACUGAGGUCUGCAGCGUAGACUCUUCGGGGUUAGAUACAUUUGUGCUAAGUUAUAGCUUUUUAUAGAUAACUUGUUGACUAUAAUUAGUCUUGUAGCUUACUCGCUUAUGCUAUUU